rnacentral:rRNA from 1 species
GACGAACGCUGGCGGCGUGCUUAACACAUGCAAGUCGAACGGAAAGGCCUUUUCGGAGGUACUCGGGUGGCGAACGGGUGAGUAACACGUGGGUGAUCUGCCCUGCACUCUGGGAUAAGCCUGGGAAACUGGGUCUAAUACCGGAUAGGACCGCACUUUAGUGUGUGUGGUGGAAAGUUUUUUCGGUGUAGGAUGAGCCCGCGGCCUAUCAGCUUGUUGGUGGGGUAAUGGCCUACCAAGGCGGCGACAGGUAGCCGGACUGAGAGGUUGGUCGGCCGCAUUGGGACUGAGAUACGGCCCAGACUCCUACGGGAGGCAGCAGUGGGGAAUAUUGCACAAUGGGCGCAAGCCUGAUGCAGCGACGCCGCGUGGGGGAUGACGGCCUUCGGGUUGUAAACUCCUUUCGCCAGGGACGAAGCGUUUUGUGACGGUACCUGGAGAAGAAGCACCGGCUAACUACGUG